CUGAAUCGUCAACAAGGGUUGUUGCUGGUCCUCAAAACGAGGUCACGUGCACGCUCUGUUUACACAUCCACUCACACCUGUGCACUUUCUGUAGUUCUAUAGCCAGGGAGGCCCUGCCUUCCUCCUGUAGUCCUAUGUCUCUUUACAUACACACACGCACACGUUCGGUGAUAAAGUCUUGUGGAAUGUAUGCUGCAUUUAAUGCAAUACAAUA
rnacentral:misc_RNA from 1 species